rnacentral:misc_RNA from 1 species
CAACCCUCAAGCUCAGCUUGGUGUUGGGGACCUACGGCUCGCCGUAGGCCCCGAAAUUCAGUGGCGGGCUCGCCGGAGACCCGAGCGCAGUAGUAACAUCUCGCUUGCGGACCACCGGUGGGUGCUUGCCGUUAAACCCCCAACCUUAAGAC